UACGUAUGGAGCAAGCGUUAUCCGGAUUUACUGGGUGUAAAGGGAGCGUAGACGGUAAGGCAAGUCUGAUGUGAAAGGUGUGGGCUCAACCCACAAACUGCAUUGGAAACUGUCCUACUUGAGUGUCGGAGAGGUAAGUGGAAUUCCUAGUGUAGCGGUGAUAUGCGUAGAUAUUAGGAGGAACACCAGCGGCGAAGGCGGCCUACUGGACGAUAACUGACGUUGAGGCUCGAAAGCGUGGGGAGCAAAC
rnacentral:rRNA from 1 species